rnacentral:rRNA from 1 species
AUGAACGCUAGCGACAGGCUUAACACAUGCAAGUCGAGGGGUAACAGGUAGCAAUACCGCUGACGACCGGCGCACGGGUGAGUAACGCGUAUGCAACCUGCCUAGUAACUGGGGAAUAGCUCCCGUGAAAGGGGAAUUAACACCGCAUAACACUAUUGAUUCGCAUGGAUUGGUAGUUAAAUGUAGCGAUACAGGUUAUAGAUGGGCAUGCGUGACAUUAGCUAGUUGGUGAGGUAACGGCUCACCAAGGCUACGAUGUCUAGGGUUCUGAGAGGAAGGUCCCCACACUGGUACUGAGACACGGACCAGACUCCUACGGGAGGCAGCAGUGAGGAAUAUUGGUCAAUGGGCGCAAGCCUGAACCAGCCAUGUCGCGUGCAGGAAGGCUGCCCCUAUGGGUUGUAAACUGCUUUUAUAGUAGAAGAAACACAUCUACGUGUAGAUGUCUGCCAGUAUACUAUGAAUAAGCAUCGGCUAACUCCGUGCCAGCCGCCGC